AUUCCAGCUCCAAUAGCGUAUAUUUGAGUUGUUGCAGUUAAAAAGCUCGUAGUUGGAUUUUGGGUCGGGGGCACCGGUCCGCCGUUCCGGUGUGCACUGGUGGCCCCUUCCUUUCUGCCGGGGACGUGCGUCGCACUUAAUUGGGUGGCGUUCGGAGUCGGCGUUGUUACUUUGAAAAAAUUAGAGUGUUCAAAGCAAGCCAUCGCUCUGAAUACAUUAGCAUGGAAUAACAUGAUAGGACUCCGGUCUUAUUUUGUUGGUUUCCGAGACUGGAGUAAUGAUUAAGAGGGACAGUCGGGGGCAUCCGUAUUUCAUUGUCAGAGGUGAAAUUCUUGGAUUUAUGAAAGACGAACUUCUGCGAAAGCAUUUGCCAAGGAUGUUUUCAUUG
rnacentral:rRNA from 1 species